CUCGUAGGCGGCCAACUAAGUCCGACGUGAAAUCCCCAGGCUUAACCUGGGAACUGCGUCGGAUACUGGAUGGCUUGAAUCCGGGAGAGGGAUGCGGAAUUCCAGGUGUAGCGGUGAAAUGCGUAGAUAUCUGGAGGAACACCGGUGGCGAAGGCGGCAUCCUGGACCGGCAUUGACGCUGAUGAGCGAAAGCCAGGGGAGCAAACG
rnacentral:rRNA from 1 species